UACACAUGUAGGUACUAACUACGGAUCCAUAGGUUUGUGGUGAACUACACACACAUCACCAUGCACUACUAGGGAAAACCCUAGAACUAGUGCAGGUCAAAAGCCAAGUAGUAGCACGGGCAGUCGCGCUACUGCUAUGGCGCUACAUCUAACUUUUAGCAGUAGUGCUGGUUGUCGAGCGCUACAGCUCACCUUUAGCAGUAGCGCCGGUUGCCCAGCGCUACUGGUAAGUGAGUUAGCAUUAGCGUGUUUUUAACC
rnacentral:lncRNA from 1 species